UGGACACAUCACCUUGGUGUUCCACUCUGCACUGACUCCCCAUAGUACACCGAGUCCAGUUCAGGAAUUGCUAACAUUCAAAUACCUCUCUGCUUUAUGAGACUGUCCUGAGCUACCAGUAAGAUCACCUCUCCCUUUGCAACCUUGACCAUCCAUAACAGCUGAGUUCUACCAGAAUCAUGAAACUAUCAAUGAGUAAAGGGAGUCUCACGAUGGCUAGACACAGAAUUUUCACUUUUUCACAGGAGCUGGAUCUACACUAUUGAACUCACUCCUACUGCAGGUGCUGCACUGAUCAGUGAAAAGACUUUCUAGCAACAACUUGGAAAAUGAUAAAAGCAUUUACCAUCAUUAUUUUUUCCUUUUGACAAUGAUCUAUGUCUGUAUAGCUCAUCAGUCAUGUCUUGUAAAAACAGCAUGGCACUUUGAUCCAACAGCUAACAAUAGCUUCCCGUGUGAGGUAAAAUGUUGUGAGAGGCCAUCAGAUAGAAAUCACAUUUUCCUUGAACAAUAGGAACCCAGAAAUGAUGUGCUUGAUUUACUUGCAAAUAAAAUCAUGUGAAAAGUGAUAUCUCCA